UACGGAGGGGGCUAGCGUUGUUCGGAAUUACUGGGCGUAAAGCGCACGUAGGCGGCUUUUUAAGUCAGGGGUGAAAUCCUGGAGCUCAACUCCAGAACUGCCUUUGAUACUGAGAAGCUUGAGUCCGGGAGAGGUGAGUGGAACUGCGAGUGUAGAGGUGAAAUUCGUAGAUAUUCGCAAGAACACCAGUGGCGAAGGCGGCUCACUGGCCCGGUACUGACGCUGAGGUGCGAAAGCGUGGGGAGCA
rnacentral:rRNA from 1 species